CACUCCUACGGGAGGCAGCAGUGGGGAAUAUUGGACAAUGGGCGCAAGCCUGAUCCAGCCAUGCCGCGUGAGUGAUGAAGGCCCUAGGGUUGUAAAGCUCUUUCACCGGUGAAGAUAAUGACGGUAACCGGAGAAGAAGCCCCGGCUAACUUCGUGCCAGCAGCCGCGGUAAUACGAAGGGGGCUAGCGUUGUUCGGAUUUACUGGGCGUAAAGCGCACGUAGGCGGACUAUUAAGUCAGGGGUGAAAUCCCGGGGCUCAACCCCGGAACUGCCUUUGAUACUGGUAGUCUUGAGUUCGAGAGAGGUGAGUGGAAUUCCGAGUGUAGAGGUGAAAUUCGUAGAUAUUCGGAGGAACACCAGUGGCGAAGGCGGCUCACUGGCUCGAUACUGACGCUGAGGUGCGAAAGCGUGGGGAGCAAACAGGAUUAGAUACCCCGGUAUCCCAUG
rnacentral:rRNA from 1 species